AACGGCCGUACCAUGCUGAAUAUACCGGUUCUCGUUAGAUCACCAACGUCAAGCAUCAUUGGGCGCGGUCAGUACUUGGGUGGGUGACCACCUGGGAACACUGCGUGCAGU
rnacentral:rRNA from 1 species